AGUGAACGCUGGCGGUAGGCCUAACACAUGCAAGUCGAACGGCAGCACAGUAAGAGCUUGCCCUUACGGGUGGCGAGUGGCGGACGGGUGAGGAAUACAUCGGAAUCUACUUUUUCGUGGGGGAUAACGUAGGGAAACUUACGCUAAUACCGCAUACGACCUACGGGUGAAAGCAGGGGAUCUUCGGACCUUGCGCGAUUGAAUGAGCCGAUGUCGGAUUAGCUAGUUGGCGGGGUAAAGGCCCACCAAGGCGACGAUCCGUAGCUGGUCUGAGAGGAUGAUCAGCCACACUGGAACUGAGACACGGUCCAGACUCCUACGGGAGGCAGCAGUGGGGAAUAUUGGACAAUGGGCGCAAGCCUGAUCCAGCCAUACCGCGUGGGUGAAGAAGGCCUUCGGGUUGUAAAGCCCUUUUGUUGGGAAAGAAAAGCAGCAGGUUAAUACCCCGCUGUUCUGACGGUACCCAAAGAAUAAGCACCGGCUAACCUCGUG
rnacentral:rRNA from 1 species